rnacentral:rRNA from 1 species
GACGAACGCUGGCGGCGUGCUUAACACAUGCAAGUCGAACGGAAAGGCCCUGCUUUUGUGGGGUGCUCGAGUGGCGAACGGGUGAGUAACACGUGAGUAACCUGCCCUUGACUUUGGGAUAACUUCAGGAAACUGGGGCUAAUACCGGAUAGGAGCUCCUGCUCCAUGGUGGGGGUUGGAAAGUUUCGGCGGUUGGGGAUGGACUCGCGGCUUAUCAGCUUGUUGGUGGGGUAGUGGCUUACCAAGGCUUUGACGGGUAGCCGGCCUGGGAGGGUGACCGGCCACAUUGGGACUGAGAUACGGCCCAGACUCCUACGGGAGGCAGCAGUGGGGAAUAUUGCACAAUGGGCGGAAGCCUGAUGCAGCAACGCCGCGUGCGGGAUGACGGCCUUCGGGUGGUAAACCGCUUUCGACUGUGACGAAGCGUGAGUGACGGUAAUGGGUAAAGAAGCACCGGCUAACUACGUG